rnacentral:rRNA from 1 species
AUACGGAGGGUGCAAGCGUUAUCCGGAAUCAUUGGGUUUAAAGGGUCCGUAGGCGGUUAAUUAAGUCAGGGGUGAAAUCCCACAGCUCAACUGUGGCACUGCCUUUGAUACUGGUUAACUUGAGUUACAGUGAAGUAGAUAGAAUAUGUAGUGUAGCGGUGAAAUGCAUAGAUAUUACAUAGAAUACCGAUUGCGAAGGCAGUCUACUAACUGUAUACUGACGCUAAUGGACGAAAGCGUGGGGAGCGAACAGGAUUAGAAACCCUAGUAGUCC